rnacentral:rRNA from 1 species
UACCAGCUCUUCGAGUGGUGUGGAUGUUUAUUGGGCCUAAAGCAUCCGUAGCUGGCUGGGCAAGUCCCCUGUUAAAUCCACCGAUUUAAUCGUUGGAGUGCGGGGGAUACUGUUCGGCUAGGGGACGGGAGAGGCAGACGGUAUUUUCGGGGUAGGGGUGAAAUCCUAUAAUCCCGAGAAGACCACCAGUGGCGAAGGCUGUCUGCUAGAACGCGCCCGACGGUGAGGGAUGAAAGCGUGGGGGGAGCGAACCGGAUUAGAUACCCGGGUAGUCCCAGCUGUAACGAUGCAGGCUAGGUGUUUGGACGGCCACGUGCCGUUCUAGUGCCGCAGGGAAGCCGUUAAGCCUGCCGCCUGGGGAGUACGGCCGCAAGGCUAGAAACUUAAAGGAAUUGGCGGGGGAGCACCACAAGGGGUGAAGCUUGCGGUUU